rnacentral:lncRNA from 1 species
GAGAGACAUUAUGUUGGACCUAACAUUUAUAGGAAAUUGCCACAAAUUGCAUUCAUAGUACCACUUUUCAUAUUUACACUAACCACUUUUACCCUCACUUUUAAUGAAGGGUAAAAGACAAUUAUACCUUUAGGGUUAACUAAUCUAGACUUAUGGUUUAGAGUUGAGGGGUGGGGUAGAGUUUUUGGAACGUGAAAUGG